rnacentral:rRNA from 1 species
GAUGAACGCUGGCGGCGUGCCUAAUACAUGCAAGUCGAGCGAACAGACGAGGAGCUUGUUCCUCUGACGUUAGCGGCGGACGGGUGAGUAACACGUGGAUAACCUACCUAUAAGACUGAGAUAACUUCGGGAAACCGGAGCUAAUACCGGAUAAUAUAUUUAACCGCAUGGUUCAAUAGUGAAAGACGGUUUUGCUGUCACUUAUAGAUGGAUCCGCGCCGCAUUAGCUAGUUGGUAAGGUAACGGCUUACCAAGGCAACGAUACGUAGCCGACCUGAGAGGGUGAUCGGCCACACUGGAACUGGGACACGGUCCAGACUCCUACGGGAGGCAGCAGUAGGGAAUCUUCCGCAAUGGGCGAAAGCCUGACGGAGCAACGCCGCGUGAGUGAUGAAGGUCUUCGGAUCGUAAAACUCUGUUAUUAGGGAAGAACAAAUGUGUAAGUAACUAUGCACGUCUUGACGGUACCUAAUCAGAAAGCCACGGCUAACUACGUG